AAAAAGCUUGACUGAGUAUUACAUUUCAGGAGGAUAUGUGUAUAUUGCGACGAUAGGUAUAGCGGUAACUGGUCCAAUAGAAAAUAAAGAUCAUGAACUGAAAGUCUAUUUGAAGACACAGAUAAAAUCUGCUUAUGAAUCCAAAUAUCCGGAGCACAAUGUACACGUCGAAAUCAUAUCCAUUUCAAAGGGCAGUACUGAUAGGAAGAAACGGCAAACAUCUGAAAACCUAGUUGUUGAAUUUGUUUUGCAUUUUGAUGAACCAUUGGACUCGGAAAACAUUACAACUGCAUGGCAAGACUAUAGGAAGGAAAGUUGCCCAAAAGGAAUAUGCAGAUCAGAGGAGAAUAAUGAUAUAGCUGUCCAUCUACCAUUCAAUGUGAUAUUUGAAGAAGAUGUAGUAUUUG